rnacentral:rRNA from 1 species
AUGCCGCCGCCGCCCACCUGUGCGACCUUCACUCGCGCCACCGCUCACCUGUGUGAUUCAGCCGCCCAGGGUGUUGGUGAAGUCGCUCCUUCCCAGCAGCUGGUGGAAUCGCCGCUCCUUACCCUUCGUUGGUGGAAUCGCCACCCGAGCCUGAGCUGGUCGCCGAGUUCCCGCCUCUGCUGCUUGUACUCCUGUGGAUGUGCGCUCACACCCAACCAAACUUCAGCUCUGGUUGAGCGUCGAUGUCGGGUCAGGCGCCAGGAUUCGAACGUCUAA